AAACGUUACACCGCUGCCAUUUCACAGUCUCUUAUCCGUCCCUCCUCAUUAUGUCCAAUGCGAACCGAAUGCCAACCCUGGUCCCGGAGAGCCACGCAGUUUUUGUUCUCGCCUGAAAAUUAGCCAAGAACCCCGGAGCCCAGGUGAUGGGAGUUAACUGUGUAAAUGGCUGCUUUAAUUGAUCCAGCAGACUCUGAUGCUUUCCAGGAUCAGGGAUGUUCACCCCUAAUCUACUAGUAUAGAGUGGCGCUGUAGUCUAAUGGUUAGAGAACUAAAGGUUGUCGGUUCAAUUCCAUGGUGGCAUACUGCUGUUCUAUUUUUGAACAAGGGCGCCAGCACUGAUGUUCUCCGCUUUUGUGAGCCGCUCUGGAUAAAGGGCACCUGCCAAGCAACAGCCAUCCAACGGCGUGAGAAACACAAAAGCCACUGAUGACGAUGAUGAUGAUGAUGAUGAUGGUGAUGCCUGCGGAGGAGGGGCCGUUGCUUGACCCAGCAGAUGUGGGACACGCAGCCCAAGAGAAGGGGGGGGGCGUCCGGGCAGCGGCUGCACCCCUGUCAAAUAUCUGUGUGGGCCUCUCUCUGGAGCCUGAGCCUGAGCCUGGAGUUUUUAUAUCAUCCACCUGCCGUGCACACGCGGCCAGCACAAAGGCUUUCUAUAAAACACCCAAAAGGCAGCGAGAGCUCCCCUAAUACAUUCCUGUCUUAUUACGGCUAUCCUGCUCAUUCUUUCGUUCCCACUUCGCACGGUGGACCACCACUGCUGACAGACAAACUUCUUCAAUGUCCGCCCCCUCCCACUCUAAAAAUGAAGCCUGUUAACGUGGGGGGG